UAAUACCUAAAUAUUCUAAAGGCACCAAAUCCCACCUGAUCUUGGAAGCUAAACAAGAUUACUUUUAGUUAGUACUUGGGUGGGAGACCGCCAAUGAAUAGCAGGUACUGUAUUUC
rnacentral:rRNA from 1 species